rnacentral:rRNA from 1 species
GAUGAACGCUGGCGGCGUGCCUAAUACAUGCAAGUCGAGCGAACGGACGAGAAGCUUGCUUCUCUGGUGUUAGCGGCGGACGGGUGAGUAACACGUGGAUAACCUACCUAUAAGACUGGGAUAACUUCGGGAAACCGGAGCUAAUACCGGAUAAUAUUUUGAACCGCAUGGUUCAAAAGUGAAAGACGGUCUUGCUGUCACUUAUAGAUGGAUCCGCGCUGCAUUAGCUAGUUGGUAAGGUAACGGCUUACCAAGGCAACGAUGCAUAGCCGACCUGAGAGGGUGAUCGGCCACACUGGAACUGAGACACGGUCCAGACUCCUACGGGAGGCAGCCGUAGGGAAUCUUCCGCAAUGGGCGAAAGCCUGACGGAGCAACGCCGCGUGAGUGAUGAAGGUCUUCGGAUCGUAAAACUCUGUUAUUAGGGAAGAACAUAUGUGUAAGUAACUGUGCACAUCUUGACGGUACCUAAUCAGAAAGCCACGGCUAACUACGUG